UACGAAGGGGGCUAGCGUUGCUCGGAAUCACUGGGCGUAAAGCGCACGUAGGCGGCUUUUUAAGUCAGGGGUGAAAUCCUGGAGCUCAACUCCAGAACUGCCUUUGAUACUGGGAAGCUUGAGUCCGGAAGAGGUGAGUGGAACUCCGAGUGUAGAGGUGAAAUGCGUAGAUAUCUGGAGGAACACCGGUGGCGAAGGCGGCAUCCUGGACCAAUACUGACGCUGAGGAGCGAAAGCCAGGGGAGCAAACGGG
rnacentral:rRNA from 1 species